GGGGAUGUAGCUCAGUGGUAGAGCGCAUGCUUUGCAUGUAUGAGGCCCAGGGUUCGAAACCCGGAAUCUCCA